rnacentral:rRNA from 1 species
CGAAGGGGGCUAGCGUUGUUCGGAAUUACUGGGCGUAAAGCGAACGUAGGCGGUGUUCCAUGUCAGAGGUGAAAGCCUGGGGCUCAACUCCAGAAUUGCCUUUGAAACGGGAACGCUUGAGUCCGAGAGAGGAUGGCGGAAUUCCUAGUGUAGAGGUGAAAUUCGUAGAUAUUAGGAAGAACACCGGUGGCGAAGGCGGCCAUCUGGCUCGGUACUGACGCUCAGGUUCGAAAGCGUGGGGAGCAAACAGGAUUAGAUACCCUGGUAGUCCACGCCGUAAACGAUGAGUGCUAGUUGUUGGGAAGUUUACUUCUCAGUGACGCAGCUAACGCGAUAAGCACUCCGCCUGGGGAGUACGGCCGCAAGGUUA